rnacentral:lncRNA from 13 species
AUGACCCAGCCAGGGCCUUAUAUAGGCCUGUCUGUUAUGACAUCACAAAGGCUUUUCAUGAGCUCAGAGCAAAGCAGGGCCAAUCAUGGCUGGGGAUCUUUCACAGAGGUUUUCUCUCUUUUGGUCCCCAAAACAUCUUUCUCUUUUAAAAAGUUAUGGAUCAACACACCACCUAUAUCUACUGCACACGUCCCUCCCUUUCACAGUGCAUUAACUUCAGAUGUGUGCUCUGCCUCUUUCUGUCUUCCCACCAAAUCAAAAACAACUCAUAGCCAGCUACAGAAGACAGAAUGGAUUAUGUUGGAAGAGCAUCAAGGAGUCCAUCAUCAAGAUUUUAGGAAUCAGUAAAUAUUUACUCAGAAAUAUCUUCUUCAGUGGACCAUCAUUUUGCUUUAAAUAUCACCAGCAGAAAUUCAUUCUUUGAGCUAAGUUACUAUUUCUAGAAAAACAAAUACAAAGAUAUGUCCAGAAAGAGCUGCUUAUUCGUUUUUGGCUUGUUUUGUUUUUUGAGAUGGAGUCUCACUCUGUUGUCCAGGCUGGGGUGCAGUGGCACGAUCUUGGCGCACUGCAACCUCUGCCUCCCAAAUUCAAGCAAUUUUCCUGCCCCAGCCUCCCAAGUAGGUGGGACUACCGGUGCACAACAACAUACCUGGCUAAUUUUUGUAUUUUUAAUAGAGAUGGGGGGUUUCACUGUGUUGGCCAGGCUGGCCUCGAACUCCUGACCUCAAGUGAUCCACCUCGGCCUCCCAAAGUGCUCCCAAACAGGUGUGAGCCACUGCACCUGGCCCCAUUCCACUUUUAAUUGUCACAAAUGCCUUAGAAAAACUAGUCAAGAUUAGGGGAGAGGUUUGCUGAACAAGCCUUGGACACAACUAUGAACACAGG